rnacentral:rRNA from 1 species
ACAUACGACCACAGGAAAUUUCCGAUUGCAUCGAAACCCGUCAGAUCUUCGUUUAAUUAAAUGGUUUGCCGGCGAGCUAGUAGGCAGGUGGGUGACCACUGGCGAAUCCUCGCUGUUGUAUGUC